CCUACGGGUGGCAGCAGUGGGGGAUAUUGGACAAUGGGCGCAACCCUGACCCAGCAACGCCGCGUGGAUGAAGUAUGCUUUCUGGGUGUAAACUUCUUUUCGCAGGGACGAAGCAAGUGACUGUCCCUGUGGGAUAAGCCACGGCUUACUACGUCACAGCUGCCGCGGGAAUACGGAGGUGGCAAGCGUUAUCCUGCUUUACUGGGUGUAAAGGGCGUGUAGGCGGGAAAGCAAGUCAGAUGUAAAAACCCUGGGCCCACACCGUGGCCUGCAUUUGAAACUGUUCUUCUUGAGUGCAGGAGGGGCAGGCGGAAUUCCUGGUGGAGCGGUGAAAUGCGUAGAUAUCAGGAGGAACACCGGUGGGGAAGGCGGCCUGCUGGACUGCGACUGACGGUGAGGCCCGAAAGCGUGGGGAGCAAACAGGAUUAGAUACCCCUGUAGUC
rnacentral:rRNA from 1 species